GACGAACGCUGGCGGCGUGCUUAACACAUGCAAGUCGAGCGGUAAGGCCCUUUCGGGGGUACACGAGCGGCGAACAGGUGAGUAACACGUGGGUGACCUGCCCUUAGCUCUGGGAUAAGCCUGGGAAACUGGGUCUAAUACCGGAUAUGACUCCAUGACGCAUGUUGUGGGGUGGAAAGCCUUGUGCGGCUAGGGAUGGGCCCGCGGCCUAUCAGCUUGUUGGUGGGGUGANGGCCUACCAAGGCGACGACGGGUAGCCGGCCUGAGAGGGCGACCGGCCACACUGGGACUGAGACACGGCCCAGACUCCUACGGGAGGCAGCAGUGGGGAAUCUUGCGCAAUGGGCGAAAGCCUGACGCAGCGACGCCGCGUGGGGGAUGAC
rnacentral:rRNA from 1 species